UCGCGGAUCAGCAUGCCGCGGUGAAUACGUUCCCGGGCCUUGUACACACCGCCCGUCACACCAUGGGAGUCGGUAACACCCGAAGCCUGUAGUCUAACCGCAAGGGGGACGCAGUCGAAGGUGGGAUUGAUGACUGGGGUGAAGUCGUAACAAGGUAUC
rnacentral:rRNA from 1 species